AUUGAACGCUGGCGGCAUGCCUUACACAUGCAAGUCGAACGGCAGCACGGGAGCAAUCCUGGUGGCGAGUGGCGAACGGGUGAGUAAUAUAUCGGAACGUGCCCAGUCGUGGGGAUAACGUAGCGAAAGCUACGCUAAUACCGCAUACGAUCUACGGAUGAAAGCGGGGGAUCGCAAGACCUCGCGCGAUUGGAGCGGCCGAUAUCAGAUUAGGUAGUUGGUGAGGUAAAGGCUCACCAAGCCGACGAUCUGUAGCUGGUCUGAGAGGACGACCAGCCACACUGGGACUGAGACACGGCCCAGACUCCUACGGGAGGCAGCAGUGGGGAAUUUUGGACAAUGGGCGCAAGCCUGAUCCAGCAAUGCCGCGUGCAGGA
rnacentral:rRNA from 1 species